rnacentral:rRNA from 1 species
AUGGCCAGUGGAGGACCCAUCGAACGAGUGGUCAGAGCCUUGAACCGUGGCUCAUCUGGCUGCAUCCGGCGUCGUCAACCUUUAGUUGUUAAUGGCUCCCGGCUGAGCCAGGACGUGUGGCGGAGGCAAGGGGGGACGAGCAGGGGCCUGCCCCCCUAUCGAUCGACAAUUCCUUUUCUCUCCUUCUACAUCCAGUCCUCUUCCUUCAUCACCACCUCUUCCUUCCACCAACCCCCACCGCCGGCAUAUGGAAGCCACGGGCUCCCCUAUGCAUCCUCGCCGGAUUCCGACCCCCAGCACUCUCCGCUCAUCCGCGCCGCACGCCGCCACUUCCUCCCCCACAGGAACACCUCGAGGUUGAACCCGACGUGUCCUACCCGUUGCCCGAGGUCAAAGUUUGUUCAUCACCCGAGCUCAUUUAGAUACAAGAGGAUGCUGCCAUUUCUCAUGGAGAACGGUACAAGAUCUCCAUAUUUUUUUAUCUCUGUUUAUGCUCUCUUCAACUAUGAAGAAGCUACUUUUGCAAAGAGAAAUUUUGUGAGGGGGAAAGGGAAAGUCAAUGAGGGGGGAUCUGAAUAUGAGAAGAAAAGGAUCACCUCCUGUUUUACCCUUGUUGGUGCUACCUACUCUGGUAUGGAGUCCAAACCUAGGAAACCAUUGUUUCUUGGGGAAGAAGAAGGCAAGGUAGGUAAGGGCGUGGAGAAGUUGGUGGCUAGUGGGUGUGAGAGCUUUGGGAGGGAAGGGAAGUGCACAUGA